rnacentral:rRNA from 1 species
CUAAAACUUUCAACAACGGAUCUCUUGGUUCUGGCAUCGAUGAAGAACGCAGCGAAAUGCGAUAAGUAAUGUGAAUUGCAGAAUUCAGUGAAUCAUCGAAUCUUUGAACGCACAUUGCGCCCCUUGGUAUUCCGAGGGGCAUGCCUGUUCGAGCGUCAUUACAACCCUCAAGCUC